GAUGAAGAACGUAGCGAAAUGCGAUAAGUAAUGUGAAUUGCAGAAUUCAGUGAAUCAUCGAAUCUUUGAACGCACAUUGCGCCCGCCAGUAUUCUGGCGGGCAUGCCUGUUCGAGCGUCAUUUCAACCAUCAAGCCCCAGGCUUGUGUUGGGGACCUGCGGCUGCCGCAGGCCCUGAAAACCAGUGGCGGGCUCGCUGUCACACCGGGCGUAGUAGAUUUUAUCUCGCUCAGGGCGUGCUGCGGUUCCCGGCCGUUAAAAGCCUUUUUUUACCCAAGGUUGACCUCGGAUCAGGUAGGAAGACCCGCUGAACUUAAGCAUAUCAAUAAGCGGAGGA
rnacentral:misc_RNA from 1 species